GGGGGUUCAUGUGGCUUAUGGAUGGACCAAUAGAAGGUAAAAUUCUUGCUUAUAACGAAGAAGAAGACUCUCGAAUUUGUUUGCCAACUCAAUGAAUAUGUAGACAGAGAGCUUCAAAUCUAAGCCUUUGAAACUAAAUCUUCUACGUUCAAUUUAGUACUACGAAAAUCUACAGAUCCUACACGAUAUCAUAUCUACAUAUCCCGCAUUAAUUUUCUUCCUCCUUUUCCAGCUUACAUCAGCAAUUUCCAGCCACCAUCAAUUGCAUCUGUGACAGGGGGCCCAGGGAAAGGGAAGACAUUCCAAUUCCACAUACCUCACCGGAAAACCAAUGCUCCCGACGACACACGUUCGUUGGUUGCCCCGCUCCCGAUCCCCAUUGCUGCCUGCUACGCCAUUCCGUCAUUCCAUGAAAACUACGACGAAGACGAAGACGACGACAACGGCGCUGGCUGAUAACUGAAGCUGCUUGGCGUGGCGGCAAUGAAAACGAUCCCGAAAGCAAGAAUCGCAAAAACAUUCCCCCGGGCGGGAUUUAUGUUUGUCUCGCAAGAGAUUAAAUUCCUUCAGUCAGUCCCGCUAGUAGAUGGUCGGUCCGGUCAUAGCUAUGCAUGGGCCCGGCUUCCCCCGUAGCGAACACAUCGAACACAUGCCUCUCUAAAAGUGUACAUAUACAUAUGAUUAGUAAGUUGGUUGGAAGGCGCACAGCUCGUAUACUUCUAUAUUGGAACUGCCCACUUACGGGGCGCGUUAUCGCCGCCCGGGAAGUGGAUGGCCAUUUAUUUUGCUUUAAUUAAUUGCUUCCAAUCACAUUGUGAGAAGAUGUUGGCGUACCCGUCACCAUGGAUGGCAAGCGCUGUCAUGAUGGUAAUUUUUCCUAUUUUUGUGUGGAAGAUGCUAUCGCGAAAAUUGAAAUGGUAUAACUUUGGUUACCGGGGUUGUAGACGCUUCAAAAUGUUUUUAACAGAAAACCUACAAAAAGCACAACAGGGCAUAUAGUUGAGAAGUAACAGGGCAUUCUGAUAGAAGCCCUCAAGUAGUAUUGACUUAAAAUUAUACGUUCCCGCACUUCUAAGUAACGUUCGAGGGCUGCUGACCUGCCAGACUAAACAUCAGGAGGUCAACACUCACUAAAUUUGUUUGUAUUGCUGUAUAUUCAGCUACAUUUUAUGGUAUCAGAAAAUUUAUCGUCCUUUUAACGACAACUUUGAAACGGAAAGUUUCUGCAAAGGCACUCAAUUGGCUGGCACAGAAACGAACGAACUGCCGCAUGAUGGUCAGUCUCUCCGUUAAGGGAACUUCAGAGCCCAUUAUGGUCCGUUGCACCGGACGGCCGGCCAUAAUCUUCCUGGGAUUUUGAACCAGCACAGUAGAUGUUCAAUAAAUGCAACAACGCCGUGAAAUGCUUUGUUUCGCCUGAAAUCCCUCUGAAACUCACACGAAAUCCGGCAUUCCUCAGGAAACGCCAAGAAACCCCUUGAAAUUCCUAUGAAACACCUUAAAACGCAUCUGGAACUCUCCUGGAACCUGAAAGCCUCUGAACCCCUUGAAACCUUCGAAAAUGUCCUGAAACGUGUCUGAGAGCUCACCAUAAAGCUUGUGAAGCCCCUCUGAGAAUGCCUCUGUAGCUUCCUGAAAUCCUGGUCUCAACAGCCGCGUCAAAACUCUCAAGGAACUCUCGUGGAAGAGUGCGCUAAAUUAUAACUUGCUGCCCAGGUCGCAUAUGAUGUUGAAUAGGAUGCAAAAGUAGGGGCGAUUUACGUACUUUAGCAUCCUAUACAACGCCAUAUGAGACUUUGUGUUAACUGGGUGUUAGCACUCUCCAGGAGCUUCUUUUAGGAUUCCUUAUCCGGAAUUCCUCAAGGAAUUCCCUAGCAGUUUCCCCUGAAAUUUCUUCUAGGAGUUUCUUCUGGAUUUCCUUGGGAGUUCUUUAUAAGAUUUUUUUUAUCCUUAUCUUCAUUUUUGAUGAGACUCUUCUGGGGAUUUAUUUAGGAUUGCUUCAGAAGUCCCCCUGGGAUUCUUCCAGGAACUUCUUCAGAGAUUUCUAAAUAGGUUCCAUCUUCCAUCUGGGAUUCCACCAAGAAGUCCUCCCGAGAUUUCUCCAGAGAUUUCUUCUAGGAUUUCUCAAGUAAUUCCUUCUAGGGCUGUUCUCUAGAUGUUCUGUUUACGGGUUCCUUCUGAAGAUUUCUUCCGAGAGCUUUCCACCAACUUUACUCGGGAUUUCUUCCGGCAUUCCUCCAGAAGUUCUUUCCGAGAUUGUUUCAGGAAUUCCUUCUGAAAUACCUUCGGGGGGAUUCCUUCUGGAAUUCCACCAGGGCUCCUCUAGGAAUUCCAUGCGAGGUUCCUCAAGGGUUCUCUUCUGGGAUUUCUUCAGGAGCUCCAUCUGAAUUUAGAACUACACAAUCCUUCCAGGAAUCCUCCAAGAACUUCUUGAGGGAUUCUUUCAAGAAUCUCUUCCGGAAUUUCUCCAGAAACUACUUCCUGGAUUUCUUCGGGAGCUCCUUCCAGGAUCCUAUUUCAAUAUUCUAUUACAAACUGUUUCCAGUACUUCUUCAGGAACUCCUUCCGUCAUCAAUGUUCGCCGCAACAGUCUCUCGUAGUGGGGACCCCUGAGGAAAGUUAUCCUAAGCUACUGGCAACACCAGAAGUGUCAAUGUCAUUGGCAACACCAGCUUGUCAAUGCAGAGCUGUCAAGUAGGAUUACAUGCGAAAUAAAAUAACAAAAAGACGAGGACUUUUCGGACAAGUUUCGUGUGUAAACAGUGUGCUCCUGGUGGUGGGUUAAAUGCGUCAGAACCAUCACCGAGUUCGAUUUCGAGUUCGUCUAGUACAAGGAGGGCUAGAGUCGAGCAAGGAGUCGAGCUUGAACUUAAGUGUCUCGAUGAGGAGAGGAAGCUCCUUGAGGAAUUAUGCCGUGAGAGCUCCGAAAAGGAACGGGCACUUAAUGAGCGAGAACUUCAGGAGAAACUUGAACGGGAAAGGCAGUUUAUCGCACGGAGACACGAGUUGCUAACUCAGAACGACGGAGAAGAAAGUGGGAGUGUGCGGAGUAUGCGGAGCCAGAGGAGUGCAAAACGUGCAGAGGACUGGGUGAGGCAGACCGGAGCAGCCGAGAAUUCCGGCAAAGUCGUCGAGCCGAUGCCGACGUCAACUUCUGUGAGUACUGGUAAUCUGGGCGAUCCGCAGGUAGUGCACCCAUCCUCAACGCCGUUGAAGCAUGUGGCAGCUGUAGUUUACCCCACUAUCGGCGGCAACAGGGUAGGAGCGGAAUUUGAGGGGAAAUCGAUUCCACGAAUCCUUGGCAGCAUCACUAUCGAAGAUGAAUCCGAGGAAUCUCUCAAAGGCGCAGUCGGUGUAGACGAAGACGAACGUGAUGAAUCACCACUCGUCAAUCUUCAGCCAUACAUAUGAGGAUCUGUUGAAGGUCGAAAAAGUGGUGCACUACAACUGCAGCAGCAAUUGGAUGCGGAACGUCGGGUCAUUCAAAACCUGCAAGAGAUGCACCGUGUGGAUGUCGACACCAGACGUAGCAGGGAAGUCCAUCUCGUAAAUCGAAUUAACAGUCUGUAACAGCAGCACAACGCUGAGCUGAAACUGGUUCGUGAAUCGUGACUCGGAAGCGAAUUUGUGAAAGCAGCAGGAUUGUGAACGGGUGAAACUGAAAUCAAGGAUUGAGAACCUAGAACAGCAGCCCAUCGAGGAGAAGGAACAGAUGCGUACGACGGUAGUAGAUUUGCGCAAUCAACUCGAUCAGCUGAGCGUGAACACGAAGCCAUUCGAGUACGGAAUGAAACGGAGAAGUAGUACUGGGACUUGCACGAGGAGGUUCAUCAAAUAAUCAAUCGAAGCGAAGAUCAGUCUGCUUACGGUGCUUGUUCCUCUCCGUUGCCUCCAGCUCCAGCGUUAGGGUUUGAGCCCAUGAACACGCCUAACACUGCAAGCGUGGACCCUUACCACUACAAUCCUUCGUUCCCUCUUCCUCCACCCGCUCCAAUCUUUUCUACCAUAAACACAUUUGCUACCAUGCCGAGGAUUCAGCCUCAGCUGUUUUCUCAAGCUAUAGUGGCGGCUUACGCGGGCGGACAGUACGAGCCGUCACCACAACAACUCGCUGCAUGACAGGUUGUUACGAAGGAACUUCCAAACUUCUCCGGUGAUCCGAUAGACCGGCCACUGUUCAUAACCAGUUUUCAACACUCGACGAAGACUUGCGGAUACACGAACUCCGAAAAGCUUUUGCGUCUGCAGCGUAGUCUACGAGGCAGCGCGAAGGAAUCCGUAAGCAAUUUUUUGCACCACCCGACAACUGUGCCGCAAGUAUUGUCCACUCUGCAGCAGUUGUACGGACGCCCAGAGCUAAUCGUCAAUAACAUGAUCGCAAAUGUUCGAGCGACACCCCCUACGAAGCCCGAUCGUUUCGAGACAUCUGAAGGCAGUAGGGCUAGAGAAACACCUAGCGAACCCCGUUCUUCUUCAGGAAUUGGUUGACAAACUGCCAACGAUGGUGAAGUUUAGCUGGGCGCUCUACCAAGAACAAGUGCCGGUUGUUGAUUUGAGCGUUUUCAGCGACUACAUGGGGAAGGUAUCUUCCGCUGCAAGCGGCGUGACACAACUGUCCAACCUUCCGCAGAGAGCGGUAAAAGAAGAACGGACUCGCCCGAAAGACAGAUCAUUCGUAAACGCACACGCGCCGAAGGAAAAUCGUGGAGAGUAGGUUGGAAAAACCGUCGCAAACAGUGGAAGAAUCGGGGAUACGAAUAGCAGAAAAACUUGAUCAGUCUGCAACACCCACGGCCACGAAAUAGAGAGCUGCAGUUCGUUCAAAGACUUGGAUUUGGACGGCAGAUGGAAGGCAGUGAAAGUGAACAAGCUCUGAGCAUGGUGUCUUACAUCACACGCGCGGUGGCCGUGCAAAGGGGUGAUCUGCGGAAUCAACGGUUGCCCGAAGCGACACCACGCACCGUUUGCUCCAUUUCGAGCCACCAUCGGCGGCCAAAGAUACUAGCGCAGUGGUUACAGUACAUAGUCAGUUGUCUUCUACCACGCUCUUUCGCAUCCUUCCGGUCACUCUGUUCGGGCGUAAAGGACAAGUCGAUACCUACGCAUUCCUCGACGCCGGAUCAUCCGUGAUGCUCGUAGAGCGAUCUAUCGCUGAUGCGCUUGGAGUCAACGGCGAGCUAGAGACGCUUCACACCGAGUGGACGGGCGGAAUCAACAAAACAAUCGAUGGGUCAGAACAAGUUACGCUGGAGAUAUCCGCUACAAACUGUCGGAAGUGUACACGGUGAAGAACCUCGGAUUACCGCAGCAGACAACAGACUACGAAGAACUGGCUUCGCGAUUCGCUCACCUCGGCAAGCUUCCAAGCUUCGAGUAAAAAGCUUCAAGCGCGCCGUACCGGGUAUCCUUAUUGGACAGAGCAACUCGCAUCUACUGGCUACUCUAAAGUUGCGAGAAGGACAAAUCAACGACCCGAUUGCGACAAAAACCAGGAUUGGAUGGGCCGUAUGUGGCAACCUUCGGAAACCACAAGGGCGAACGAUGCACAGGCAGCUUAGCAUGUUCGCCGAGCCGACUAUCGAAGAUCUUCACGAGUACGUUCGCCGAUUUUUUUAUAUCGAGAGCUUGGGGGUGGUUGUCGUGCCGGCGGUGAAAGGAGCAGAAGAGCAACGUGCGUGCGAAAUUUUGGAGGUUGAACGGCGGUUGAACGGCGAAAAGUACGAGACGUAAUCGUGCUUUGGAAGCACGAUUACGUGGAGUUUCCGAAUAGCCGACCGACGGCAGAAAGAUGAUUCAGACUUCUUGAGAAGCGUUUAGCCAGGAUCCCGGAGCUAUAUAAUGCCGUCCGUUGGCAAGUAGCUAACUUCAAAGCAAAAGGAUACAUAGACAAAGCAUCAGCGGAGGAGCUGGAAGGGUUUGAUCUUCGACGGACGUGGUAUUUGCCGAUUGGAGUAGUCGUCAAUCAAUAGGGGUCUCCAGUUAGCGUAGUGGUUAAGGCUAUGGAUCGCCAAUCCGGAGACGGCGGUUUCGAUUCUCGUUCUGGUCGGGAAAAUUUUCUCGACUCCCUGGGCAUAGUGUAUCAUUGUACUUGCCUCACAAUAUACAAUUUCAUGCAAUGGCAGGCAAAGAAAGCCCUUCAAUUAAUAACUGUGGAAGUGCUCAAAGAACACUAAGUUGAAGCAAGGCAGGCCAAGUCCCAGUUUGGACGUCGAGCCAUGAAGAAGAAGAAGAAGUAGUCGUCAAUGAGAAAAAAAACCGGAAAUUUCGCAUCAUCUGGGACGCCGCAGCGAAAGUCGAGGGAAUAUCGCUGAACUCUGUGCUUCUCACUGGUCCGGAUCUUCUGACCCCACUACUGUCAGUGAUGUUGCCGUAUCGGAAGCGCCAAGUAGCCGUGUCAGCAGAUACCAAGAAAAUGUUCCUGCGAACUCUGAUUCGUGAACAGGAUCGCAGCGCUCUGCUAUUUCCAUGCAGGGCUUCUCCGGAGCUUCCGAUGAACACCAUGGUCUCCGACGUAGCCAUUUUUUGGGGCGGCCUGCUCCCCAGCUCACUCGCAGUUGGUCAAGAACAUGAACGCGGCUGAACACGAAGCGGAGCUUCCACGAGGGGCAGCAGCCAGCGGUAAAGAAACGUCACUACGUGGACGACUACGUGAACAGUUUCGACACGGUAGAAGAAGCAGUGGAGGUAGCGAAGGAAGUAAUUGAGGUAUAUAGAAGAGCAGGAUUCCACAUUCGUAACUGGAUGUCGAGUGACAGUAUAGCGUGCUAGAGCAGUUAGUAGAAGUGAAGCAGAAACUGGCGUAGCCCAUUUCGCCGGACAAGUAGACCUGUUUCGAGCGAGUUUUGAAAAUGGCGUGGAUGCAACAAGAGGACGUUUUCACAUUUUCGCUGCAGCUCUGCGAGAAAGUGCGUUACUUGCUGGGAGAUUCCACUACUCCAACAAAAACGGAAAUGCUGCGACUAGUAAUGAGCAUCUACAAUCCCCUGGGACCAGUGGCGGACUGGCACGGAUUGGGAUAUCAAAAUUCCGCAAGAAGUUGUUGCACGAUGGGUGGAAUGGAUAUCGUUGCUGAUGAAAAUGGACGGACUACGCGUCCUUAGGUGCUAUUUCCCCAAGUUUCAAAUCCCUUGAGUUGCUCGUGUUUGUAAAUGCAAGCGCGCAAGCUUUCGCGGCGGUGGCGUAUUUUCACAUCGUAGAUCAAGGGCAGGUCAGAAUUGCACAGGUUUCAUCCAAAACAAAGGUCGAACCACUUCGCGCACUGUCGAUACCGCGUCUAGAACUGAUGGCGGCAUUGCUGGGAGCUUGUUUGCGGAGGACAAUAUAGGAUAACCAUUCGUUGGAGAUCAGGAAAACCGUUUUUUGGAAUGAUUCGUCGACAGUCUGUGCUUGGAUAAAAUCAGACACGCGUCGAUACCGCCAGUUUGUUGCCUUCAGAGUGAACGAAAUAUUGGAUCUUUCAAAAAUCUAGGAAUGGAGUUGGAUAUCGACGAAGGUCAAUGUAGCGGACGAAGCUACAAAGUGGGGAAGAGGUCCUUUGUGCAACAUAGAAAGCCGCUGGUUCCAGGCACCGGAUUUCCUCUACAGCCCCGAGGCAGAUUGGAUAGCAGUCAAGAUGCCAGCAAAUUACGCAGCUGCUAUUGGAUUACUAUCGUCAUGCAAAUGAAGAAACGAUUGUUAACGAGGCUUGGCAGAAGUUCCACGUGCCACGGCUUCGGGUGGCAAUCCGUUUAGUCAGAAAACGCUGCAUGUGGUGCCAUGUGUACAAGGUCAUUCCUGUUACUCCAAAAAUGGGACAGCUUCCUGCUGUUCGCCUGGAGCCUGGUGAACGACUAUUUACCUACGUGGGCGUGGACAUCUUCGGCGUAUGAUACAAUCGAUCGAGAACAGCUAUGGCAGAUUAUGCACGAAUAUGGAUUCCCGGAUAAACUGAUACGAUUGAUCAAGGCGACGAUGGAUCGAGUGAUGUACGUAGUUCGAGUAUCAGGGACACUCUCGAGCCCCUUCAAAUCUCGCAGAGUGUUACGGCAAGGCGAUGGUCUUUCGUGCUUGCUGUUCAACAUUGCUUUAGAGGGUGUAAUUAGGAGAGCGGGGAUAAACACGAGUGGAACGAUUUUCACGAAGUCCGUUCAGCUGCUUGGUUUCGCUGAUGAUAUUGAUGUUAUUGCUCGUAAAUUUGAGACGAUGUCGAAUAGCAACCCGACUAAAAUGGUUCUCGAGGGUCAUCCGACCGGUACAAGAAUAUGUUACGGGUAUAAAUAUUUGUUACAAUUAAAAGACAGAAUAAUUGUUAAAUGUGUUAUAAAUAUUAUAUUCGUAUGUUGUGUUAUAUGUUUUAUUUUACCUUGUAAAUAUUCCCCGAGUUUUAAUACACAUUUAUAGGGUUCUGACUGAAUAGAGGUAUACAUGAAAUGCAAUCCACUGUUGAUUGCCAACUUUCAGGCUAUUUCGGGCAGAGGUCAAGUACUAGACAUGUAAACCUUUCCCUGCCACGGACUUCAAGUUCUUGAGCUCAAGUAUCGAACCCUGAAACGGGAUGCCCAAUUAGGAUUAGUUUUCCUAGACAAAACCAAGCUAUGAACACAGCAUCAAAUGCUGUGAACUAAAAGGCAAACUGCCAACUAAAAUACAAUUCCAGGAUGACUGAUGGACACAAACCCUUACAUGAAACCUCGUCAUCCUGUGAUCGGAAGAUGUUAUCCAUCUGGAUAACAGGGCACAUUUAUGUUUUGUGUUGUGCUGUGUCCACUUGUGACGUUUCUUGUUUGUGCAUUUAUAAGGUUCUAUGUGUUAUGAUAUGCUAAUACUUUGUAAUAAUUAAUUUCUUUUAUGUUUGUAACAUGGCGCCCAACGUGGGGCCCUUGCAUUUGUAGGGUUCCAUGUUGUAUUUUUGUAACAUGGCGCCCAACUAAAAAACCCCGUACAUACAAAUGAAAGCUAGUUGGAAGGAUUAUAACUUCAGUCUUAAGGCCAUUUUAUUUUUGUGGACAGUUAACCUCCAUAAAAGUAAAGUUUAGUUUAGGUUAGAUUAAUUCGUUACAUGAUUUGGAGAGCAGUUUGGCUUUCGGGUAACAAUCUUUAGUUUAGAGUUGAGGUGUUUUCUGGGGACUUGUUAGUCCUGUUCACCGCUACGUUUCUGGAAAGCAUUGUGGCUUUCGGGUAGCAUAACUCGUUUUGGUUUUGUUUUGAGUUUAGGUUAAGUUAUUUAUCUUUAUCGUAGUGUUAAGUAUAUGGCCUUAACACUAUUGUUAUGAAGGAUAUGAAGCAUAUGGGAGCUGAAUUUUUCGUGAAUCGGUGAACGAUUCACGAAAAAUUCUUGCUCAAACGUUGGAUUGUGUUACGGGUAUAAAUAUUUGUUACAAUUAAAAGACAGAAUAAUUGUUAAAUGUGUUAUAAAUAUUAUAUUCGUAUGUUGUGUUAUAUGUUUUAUUUUACCUUGUAAAUAUUCCCCGAGUUUUAAUACACAUUUAUAGGGUUCUGACUGAAUAGAGGUAUACAUGAAAUGCAAUCCACUGUUGAUUGCCAACUUUCAGGCUAUUUCGGGCAGAGGUCAAGUACUAGACAUGUAAACCUUUCCCUGCCACGGACUUCAAGUUCUUGAGCUCAAGUAUCGAACCCUGAAACGGGAUGCCCAAUUAGGAUUAGUUUUCCUAGACAAAACCAAGAUAUGAACACAGCAACAAGUGCUGUGAACUAAAAGGCAAACUGCCAACUAAAAUACAAUUCCAGGAUGACUGACGGACCCAAAUCAAUAAAUGAAACCUCGUCAUCCUGUGAUCGGAAGAUGUUAUCCAUCUGGAUAACAGGGCACAUUUAUGUUAUAUGUUGUGCUGUGUGGAUUUGUGAUGUCUGUAUAAUGUGCAUUUGUAAGGUUCUCUGUGUAUCGUGAUACUUUGUAAUAAUUAAUUUCUUUUAUUUUUGUAACAAAUACGGGGAGCGCAGCGAGCUAGGUGGGUCGACCAAGUGGAGGACGAUCUGUGGAUCCUUCGCAGAGUGCAGAACUGGCGACAUACAGCCAUGGACCGAGUUGAAUGCAGACAGUACAGCAGAGGUCACUCAGGUCUUAGUCUGACCGGUAAGGCUCAAGUGAGACUAAAGAAGGGCAGCCGAUUGCCUCGGAGAAACCCAAGGUUCACUGCACCAUUAUUUCUCCAGUUAGCGCAGUGAGGGCAACAUACUGUGGAGGGCGCUCUGGUACUCCACAGGUAAUUGCAGCAGUUGGUGGGGCAAUAAGAGCGCAAGUCAAUCCAAUGCCGAAGAUCAAGAAGGGGUAAUGGCCGUAAUAGUCCGUGCGGACCACAUGAACACCAUCGGAAGGGUAAUGGUAUAGGUUGGGGAAAGGUAUUGGACUAGACUUGAGACACAAUAAUGCAAAUACGGUAGAAAGUGUGAAAUUGGUUUCUGUAGUAAGGUUCAUGUAGUAUGUUAGGUCCUUGUCAAUUUGUCAGUUAGUUGCCUUAGAUUCCCAAACUUAAGUAGCGUUACUGUUUUGCCCCAUAUCAAAUAUGUAGUCUCUACUCUACUCUACUGAAGUGUUAUAUUAAGUUGUUAUGUUCAGUAUGUCAGUAAUUGCUGGUCAUAAUGUUUUUGCGUCAUUUAUUGCAGAAUAUUAUUUAAGAUAAGAAGUAAUUUUCAUCAAAAAUGUCCAGACUAAUUGUUCUCAUUGAUAACGCAUUAGCUUCAUAACUAAUAAUCAUUUACACCUAACAGGAUUCGCUCCUAGAUCCUGGCAAUAUACGGCUAAAUCUUCGAAUUGUUCUGUCAGUCCUACUAGUUUUUCUUGUAGAAAACAUGUCACUCCCUCACUUUUCAUAUAAUACCAACAUUUAAAAACGUUAAAUUAUCUUCCUUGUCAUACAUAAGUAAUGUUGUCCAGCUUAGUCAAAGAAGUAGAUAAUCAGUUUUCGUCGAGUCGAGACGCAUUGACGUUAACAAAGCAUUUCACGCGUUAGCUUCGGAACUAUAAGCAAAAUUAAGUGUUGCAACUCACGCCGGGAGUUAGUAUGGACUUGAAAAUAUCAAUGCUAUUCGGCUGCAAAAUUCGACGAGAUAAAAAAGUUCCACAAAUUUGCAAAAAAAGGAGAACUAGAGCUUUUGAAAAGAAGAAAACUUGCGUACACGUAACGUUAGUUAAAUUUUCAUUUACAAUGCGAAAAACCGAAGUACAAUUUCUCAUCCACUUAGUUUCCUGAUAAAUUCUUGUUUCCCGCCGUAUGUUAGUUAUUUACCUUUGCACGCUUAGAAUUCAGGUUCCAUGGAGAGUAUUUUACAUUUGGUUACUUACAUAUGUCGAUGAUACUUCCCCCAUAGAUUGUGUUUGUUAGCUUCUGGUUGUCUUUCGAAGAUCUUCCAUAUGUUAAUCUGUAAAUGCUUGUGCUCAUGCACCGUUCAUGUUCCGCAAGGAUUCGAACCAUGCAACAUUUUAUAGAGAAAAACAAGGCAGGAAAAAUUGAUUAAUAAUUUUUAUGUGUAUAGUGUUUAUGUUAUGAAUAAUAGCAGUAAUUGUUUUAGUAUUAGUGUGUAUGUGAUCAAACAGGAAAAAAUCGUCACGAAUAUCAAUCAUAAUUUAAUGUAAUUGAUGAAUAAUAUUAAUUAUAUUUCCAAGAAAAUAAAAUAUUUUGUAUUUGCAGCAUA